CCUACGGGCGGCAGCAGUGGGGAAUAUUGCGCAAUGGGCGAAAGCCUGACGCAGCGACGCCGCGUGAGGGAUGAAGGUCUUCGGAUCGUAAACCUCUGUCAGCAGGGAAGAACGGUCACUGUGCUAAUCCGCAGUGAAUUGACGGUACCUGCAAAGGAAGCACAGGCUAACUCCGUGCCAGCAGCCGCGGUAAUACGGCGGGUGAGAGCGUUAAUCGGAAUUACGGGGCGUAAAGCGCUCGUAGGCGGUAGGUCAAGUCAAGGGUGAAAGCCCCGCGCGCAACGUGGGAAGUGCCUUUGAUACUGGCAAACUGGAGUGUGUGUGAGGAGAGUGGAAUGCGAGGUGUAGGAGUGAAAUGCGUAGAUAUCU
rnacentral:rRNA from 1 species